AGCCUUCUGUGUCCGUGCUGAGACUUCGUCAGUGAUCGACCCGUUGGGGCUGAUGCAGCUUCUCAAAUAAGUAAAGUG
rnacentral:pre_miRNA from 1 species